UUUCCGUAGGUGAACCUGCGGAAGGAUCAUUAGUGAAUAACAAUGCUUGGGUGUCUCUGCUUCGGCAAGCCCCUCGCACCCUUCACAUCCAUAACACCUGUGAACUGUAAGAUGACCUCUCCGGAGGGCGUCUGACCUUUUUUACAAACAUUUAUACGUAUCUAAUGUAGUCUUAUUAUAACAAAAUAAAACUUUCAACAACGGAUCUCUUGGCUCACACAUCGAUGAAGAACGCAGC
rnacentral:misc_RNA from 1 species